rnacentral:lncRNA from 1 species
UUAGAACCAUUUUCCCUGCAGAGGCGUCUGUGGAUAGUGUGUCCCUCAGUAGCAAGAUCAAAGGCUAUUCUAUCCCCAGCAGGUCUAAGGAUCUUAAUUCCCCAGCAGGCCUGGAAGUGGGUGUGUCCCCAGCUAGUUUGAAGAUUGUUAAUCCCCACCGAGUUGGAAGGUUGUUAUAUCCCCAACGGAGGUCUCAGUGAGUAGUUUAUUCCCCAGCAGUCGGGUAUGAAGUACUGUAUCCCCAGCAUGGUCUGG